UCUCUCUUGAGCCCACCUCCUGUCUUGUCUCUGAUUAGGAAACUGGCCUGGCUGUCACAUCCCRUGCCUCACAAUGGGGCUGGGUUGUCAUCCAUCACUGCCCACACUUGGCUGCUAGUUCAGCCAUGAAAUGGUCUACCUCCAGAAUGAGCUGGACCACAAAAUCACUGGGAGGACUCCUUUCCCUGGUUCUUUUUGGCUUAAAAAGAAGUAUUAGCCAAGAAAAGGGAAGGUAUGCCUUCAGAGAGGAGAAGAAACCACAGCAAUGGAGACCUCCGACUCAGAGAUCCUUGGAACAGAGAAGAACCUCKAUUCCAGAUCCAAGACUGCCACCUGGGAGCCUUUUCUAUCCAUGUGCAUAGAAGGAUCUUGACAUGGAAAGAGACAAUGUAACCUUGUCUCUGUGUAGUUCCAUCCGGUUAUUCAUACUUCUAGAACUGAAAAGUUAAUAAUCUGCCCCUUUCUUGCAACUGCUUGUAUUUUUAUCAGAGUUGCUAAUAGCCCAGAUGAUAUGGAGGAUGCAAUGGUUUCCAAGUGGGAGAAUCAUGGAAAUCCCAGGUGGUCAGACAUCAUCUUAGGAGACUUGCUACACACUCCUGUUCUUGAAGAAGCUAUUAUGCAUGUGUGUGUCUCUGCUUUUUUACUCUGAAGGAAAUGACCCUUCACCUGAUGUACAUAUUCACCAAGAUUUCAGACAGAGUUGGAUGAUCCUUCCACAUCAUCAUGAUUAGUCCUCAAGGAUUGUUUAUUUUUUAAUUUGACAAGUAAUAACUCCUAAUAAACAUUUAUAGAAAAUAA
rnacentral:lncRNA from 1 species